rnacentral:rRNA from 1 species
GAGGGGGGAUGCAAGCGUUAUCCGGAAUCACUGGGAGUAAAGCGUCUGUAGGUGGUGAUGCAAGUCACUGGUGCAAAACUCUGGCUCAACCGGAGGAAAGCCAGUGAAACUGCAUGACUAGAGUGUGGGAGAGGUAGAAGGAAAUCCCUGAGUAGCGGUGAAAUGCGUAGAUACAGGGAAGAACACCGGAGGCGAAAGCGUUCUACUGGAACACAACUGACACUGAGAGACUAAAGCUAGGGGAGCGAAUGGG